rnacentral:rRNA from 1 species
ACAGGUCUUCGGAUGCUGACGAGUGGCGAACGGGUGAGUAAUGCAUCGGAACGUGCCCAGUCGUGGGGGAUAACGCAGCGAAAGCUGUGCUAAUACCGCAUACGAUCUAUGGAUGAAAGCGGGGGAUCGCAAGACCUCGCGCGAUUGGAGCGGCCGAUGUCAGAUUAGCUAGUUGGUGGGGUAAAGGCCCACCAAGGCGACGAUCUGUAGCUGGUCUGAGAGGACGACCAGCCACACUGGGACUGAGACACGGCCCAGACUCCUACGGGAGGCAGCAGUGGGGAAUUUUGGACAAUGGGCGCAAGCCUGAUCCAGCAAUGCCGCGUGCAGGAAGAAGGCCUUCGGGUUGUAAACUGCUUUUGUACGGAACGAAAAGGUCUGGGUUAAUACCCUGGGCUCAUGACGGUACCGUAAGAAUAAGCACCGGCUAACUACGUGCCAGCAGCCGCGGUAAUACGUAGGGUGCAAGCGUUAAUCGGAAUUACUGGGCGUAAAGCGCGCGUAGGUGGUUUGGUAAAUUGAAUGUGAAAAGCCCCGG